GACGAACGCUGGCGGCGUGCCUAAUACAUGCAAGUAGAACGCACAGUUUAUACCGUAGCUUGCUACACCAUAGACUGUGAGGUGCGAACGGGUGAGUAACGCGUAGGUAACCUGCCUGGUAGCGGGGGAUAACUAUUGGAAACGAUAGCUAAUACCGCAUAAUAUUAAUUAUUGCAUGAUAAUUAAUUGAAAGGUGCAAUUGCACCACUACCAGAUGGACCUGCGUUGUAUUAGCUAGUAGGUGAGGUAACGGCUCACCUAGGCGACGAUACAUAGCCGACCUGAGAGGGUGAUCGGCCACACUGGGACUGAGACACGGCCCAGACUCCUACGGGAGGCAGCAGUAGGGAAUCUUCGGCAAUGGACGGAAGUCUGACCGAGCAACGCCGCGUGAGUGAAGAAGGUUUUCGGAUCGUAAAGCUCUGUUGUAAGAGAAGAACGGGUGUGAGAGUGGAAAGUUCACACUGUGACGGUAUCUUACCAGAAAGGGACGGCUAACUACGUG
rnacentral:rRNA from 1 species